CCACCAUAAUGCUGCUUAAGAAGAGCAAUUCGAUUCUUCCUCAAGCUCUCCUCACCAAUUCAUCAUUUCCUCUCCUUAAACACUGAGUGGUCUUUGGCCGAGAAAAAGAUAUCCAGCUGCACCGUAGCUGAACUGACUUAGAAGCAAAACCCAGUGCUCCUGGAGAGGCCUUGGAAAAAACGUUUCCUCAGCCAGAGCUGCAGCAUGGGCCGAUGCAGACAUGCAGCGCGGUGUGUGGCACAAGGUCAUUUUCUGAAACACCAGGGGUCCCCGAGUGAGGAGGAGAAGAGCUGUAUAAGUCAUCUUCCCCCAAGUCCAAACUCCAGCACCAAGAUGCUCUGCCAUCAAAGAAGCCUGUAGCCUCCCAGGGACAGCAACUGCCUGGAGACCCACAGAGAGACCUGUCAUCCAGAGGAAGGGACAGGAGAGGGUCGAAUUGCUUCUUACAGAACUGCAGGUAAACACCGAGUCUCUGCAGGUUCCUCUCCUGGAAACAGGACCCCUGUGCACGCCACAUCUGCCUGUCAGACUUGCAGCCUCUACACAUCCUCUGUGGAGGCUUCUGCCCGGAGUCCCAGCACUAGGCAGACGGAGGGAAGAGGACCCCAAGAGUCGGAAGACCAGUGUGGACAACGUUGUCAGACCACCCCCA